GUCCACGCCGUAAACGAUGUCUACUAGCCGUUGGGUUCCUUGAGGACUUAGUGGCGCAGCUAACGCAAUAAGUAGACCGCCUGGGGAGUACGGUCGCAAGAUUAAACUCAAAUGAAUUGACGGGGCCCGCACAAGCGGUGGAGCAUGUGGUUAAUUCGACGCAACGCGAAGAACCUUACCAGGUCUUGACAUCCAGAGAACUUUCCAGAGAUGGGAUUGGUGCCUUGGGAACUCUCAGACAGGUGCUGCAUGGCUGUCGU
rnacentral:rRNA from 1 species